rnacentral:rRNA from 1 species
AGAGUAACACGUGGGUAACCUGCCUAUAAGACUGGGAUAACAUUCAGAAACAAAUGCUAAUACCRGAUACGCKAUAUGGUCGCAUGACUGAAUCGGGAAAGAUGGAGCAAUCUAUCACUUAUAGAUGGACCCGCGGCGCAUUAKCUAGUUGGUGAGGUAACGGCUCACCARGGMGACUAUGCGUASCCGACCUGAGAGGGUGAUCGGCCACWCUGGGACUGAGACACGGCCCASACUCCUACGGGAGGCAGCAGURGGGAAUCUUCCGCAAUGGACGAAAGUCUGACAGAGCAACGCCGCGUGAGUGAUGAAGGUUUUCAGAUCGUAAAGCUCUGUUGCCGGGGAAGAAUGCUUGGGAGAGUAACUGCUCCCAAGGUGACGGUACCUGARAAGAAAGCCCCGGCUAACUACGUGCCAGCAGCCGCGGUAAUACGURGGGGGCAAGCGUUGUCCGGAAUUAUUGGGCGUAAAGCGCGCGCRGGCGGCCUUGUAAGUCUGUUGUUUAAACUUGGGGCUCAACCCCAAGUCGCARGGGAAACUGCAAAGCUUGAGUACAGAAGAAGAAAGUGGAAUUCCACGUGUAGCGGUGAAAUGCGUAGAGAUGUGGAGGAACACCAGUGGCGAA